ACCAAAAUUACCAUUCUUUUUUUUUUUAAUUUCAAUGAAAAAGAUGAAAAGUUCCUUUUUUUUGUAUUUCUUCAAUAAAAAGUGUAUACAUCACAUAACACAACUUGUGGAUCUGGAAUAACCUUCUCUAGGUAUUCCUCAGACCUAAAGUUUUGAAAAAAAAAGAAAAUAUCAAAUAUUUCAGAUUGCUAAAACAAUCAGGACCUCUCUAAAAUGACCACAUUUAAAGAUAUUAUUACUAUUAUUUAAC
rnacentral:lncRNA from 1 species